rnacentral:lncRNA from 10 species
GUUUAUACAACCUUUAUUAUUUUUCAGAUUGAAAAUUCAGGAAUUUUUUAAAACAGCCAGUGAAGUUGGUAUCAUUGUUUUCACCCAAAAUUAUUCAUGCUACUAUGUACCAGUACCAUGUAGGUGUUUGGGAAUUCAGCAAAGAACAAGACAAAGUUUCAGCCCUCAUGGAACUUACAGUCUAGAUCAAUCAAACAAACAAACAAACAAAAAACCAAAAAAGAGUAUUUCGUAAACAUAAUUUCUGAUAGUGGUAAGUAUUGUGAAAAAAAGGAGAGCCGGGUAAAGGGCCAGGAGGUGACAAUUGAAGGAAUGAGGCAGAAAGGAAUUGAAGGUAGUUUAGAUUGAGAGGUCAGGAAUAGCUUGGCUUCUUGAACACGGAGACUGUUUUACCGGAAAGGGGUCCCGAACCAGACCCGAAGAGAGGGUUCUUGAACUUCACUCAAGAAAGAAUUCAGGGUGACUCCCUAGAGCAAAGUGAAAGCAAGUUUAUUAAGAAAGUAAAGGAAUAAGGAAUGGCUACUCCAUAGGCAGAGCAGUGGCAUGGGCUUCUCGACUGAGUAUACUUAUAGUUAUUUCUUGAUUAUAUGCUAAACGAGGGGUGGUUAUUCAUGAGGUUUCCAGGAAAAGGGGGUAUUUACUGGAACUGAGAAUUCCUCUCUUUUUAGACUAUAAAGGGGAACUUGCAGACAUUGCCGUGGCAUUUGUAAACGGUCAUGGCGCUGGUGGGACGUCUUUUAGCAUGCUAAUACAUUAUAAUUAGUGUGUAAUGAACUAAGCAGUGAGGAUGACCAGAGGUCACUUUCAUCACCAUCUUGGUUUUGGUAGGUUUUGGCUGGUUUCUUUACUGCAUCCUGUUUUACCAGCAGGGUCUUUGUGACCUGUAUCUUUGGUUGACCUCCUAUUUCAUCUUGUGACUAGGAAUGCCUAACCUCUUGGGAAUGCAGGCCAGUAGGUCUCAGCCUUAUUUUACCCAGCCCCUAUUCAAGAUGGAGUGACUCUGGUUCAAAUGCCUCUGACAAGAUGAAGAAGCCAGCCCUUCAAAUAUCUGGGAGAACUUUCCGAGCAGUGAACUUGCAAGUCCAGAGUCCCAAGACGGGAAGCUUGGAGAGAUGAGGAACAGUAAGACGCUAGUGUGGCUGGAGUAAGGAGGGCAUGAGCGGAGCUGACAUUGGAGAAGAGGCCACACAGCAGAUCACCCAAUCCCUCACAGGUCAUGGCAGAGUGUAAAUUUUUUUCCUAAAUGUGAGUGGAGUUUGAUGGAGAGUUUUAAACAAGGAAUUGACUUGGCUCUAAAUUAGGGUUUAAAAUUAAGCACUUGGCCCAUUGCCAUGAAAAUUGCUGGGGAAGGCAGGGGAGUGGGCAAAGUUUGGAAGCUGGGAAACCACCUAUGACUGGCUUUAAUUUCUGGAAGCCUUCCAUUCCAUCAAGUUUUUCACUUCAGUUUCUAUAUUUUUAAUUGCUAAGACUCUAUUAGUGCUCCAAAUAUUCAAUUUUUAUAGCAUUCUUUUCUUGUAUCUUAGAUGCAAUUUUUUCUCUUAUCUUUCAGGGGAUAUUAUUGUUACUUUGUGAACUACUCUGUUCUUUGAAUUGUCUCUAUUGCUAACAAGUGUGUUGUAUUUUAUUAAUUAUUAUCAUUUUCUAGGCUUAGUGGUUAAGGACAUAGACACGAGACAGAUUGCCAGCUUAGAAUGACAGCUUCUCAGCUUACAGUGUGACCUUGGGCAAGUUACUUAAUGUCUCCAUGCCUCAGUUCCUUCACUUUUUCCAUGGAUGUAAUAAUAGUAUUUACUUAAAUGGUGAUUGUGAAGAUUAAGUGUGUAAAUAUACAUAAAGUACUUAGAAUAGUACCUAGCUCACAGUAUACGCUUAAUAAGGGUUAACCCUUAUUUUUUCUAUUUGCUUUGGUCUGUCUUUUAUAUUAGAUGCUUUCCUCAAGUUGCCUGGUAAUUCUUGACUCUUCCUUCAUAUUUAAUAAUGAGGUACUGAUAGGCUGUCUUGGAGCUCUGGGCAUAAAGAGAAGGCUUGUUCACUAUGGACAUGAUACUAGGGUCUGUAGCUGGGCUAGAUCUUUUGGGAACAAGAUUUAUCUUCAAUUCUUUUCUCUUGGGCUGGUUAUGAUUCAGAGAAGGAUCUCCUAGUGUCCUUUUUGGGCUCUCUACAUUCAGGUUGUCAACUUUAAACUCAAUCCCCUAUUUUCUGACGGUACCCCUUCCAUCAACUGUGUUUUAUGGCCCAAAUCUUCAACAUCUCUGUUUAAUCCUCUUCAAAAAAUAGCCUUCUGGUUUUAUCUGAAUAGGUCAGAGCAGAUGUCCAGGUCAGUAAUGAUGGGAAGAGAUCUGGAGUCAAAAUUUUUUCCAACAGACUUUCUUUUCAUCUCCCUGCUUUCAACCUUGUCUUUACCCUCACUUCCAAAGAUGCCAAGUCCUACUAAUUCCUGGAACUUCGGAGGGUUCAAUGGUUCAAACAUGGCUGCUUCUCAGCUUUCCUCACUGAUUUUGGGGAUUUAGCCUUCUUGGACAACUAAGUUCAUUUGCUUUCCAGCUUCUAAAUUUCAUUAUCUUAUUUCCAUUCCUGCUUUCAUUUUCUUUGUUAAAAAAAAUCUCUUUGCAGUCAUUUUCAUGAGGUUUAGGAAACAUUAGAGACUCACGGGAGUCUUUAAUCUGUCAUGUGUAACUGAAGGCUGGAGGUUCAGCCCCUAAUUUUAAAGGUUUGAGGUUUGAGGUCCAGAAAGGCCGCACAGCUGCUUGGAAAUAACAUGGAGUGGAGAUUGGGGUCUUGAUUUGUUGCCAAAAACUUAUCCUGCUACUUCACUCUGCCCCUUAGAAGCCUCAGGAGACCUGAUUUGAUAACGUUGAGCAGGUUUUCUUCUCAAUCUCAAUGGCCAAGGGCAAAGAGUCUACUCUGGUCCCCAGCCUCGGUAAAGCCCCAGAGAGCAGGUAAAGUUGUGAUUCUUCAUGGUCUUUGAGUCCUCACCUAUGGAGCCAUGGUCUGUACUUGGGGGAGCAACUAGACGUUUUAACUUUCCCUCACAGUGGGCUAAUGCCCAAGGGAGGAAAUGGCCUCAAUGAGAACCUAACUAGGGCCAGGAUCAAAUGAAGCCAGUUAAGAGGAGAAGAGGAAUGUUAGAGCAGGAUGGGCCAGAACAAAUUAUUUGGAAGGUUUUAUCUGCUAUAAGCUUUUAUAAUUUUUGGUUGUGAAUAUCUUAAUUAUGAAAGAGAAGACUUUGCAAGAAUAUGUGUCAGAAGGCUUAACUCUUCAUUUUGUUGCAAUUUAGAAGAAUAUAUGACUACAAGACUUGGCAUCUUAUCAGUUUCUCCUGCCAGCCCAAGUACACCUGUGUGUGACCCUGGUCAGAGCCAUUCCUGAUACAUGAUGAGUUGUAAGGAACCAAAUCCCCAGUGGAUCUGGACUUCCAUUUCAGCAAUUGUCACAGAGCCUCCCUCAAACCCAGGUUACACUCUUGCUACUCAGUCUAGUAUUGAUGCUCCCACCUAAAAAUACCUCAAUCGAAACUUUUACGGAACUUUUUUUCUUUUUCAACUUUUAUUUUAGAUUCAGAAGGUACAUACGCAAAUUUGUUGCCUGGGUAUAUUGUGUGAUACUGAAAUUCGGGAUAUGAAUAAUCCCAUCACUCACAUAGUAAGCAUAGUACCCAACAACUGUUGGGUACUAGUUUUUCAACCCUUCUUCCCCCUCUUCCUCACUCUAGUCAUCUCCAGUUUCUAUUGUUUCCAUCUUUAUGUCCAUAAGCACCCAAUGGUUAGCUCCCACUUAUCAAUAAAAACAUGCAGUAUUUGGUUUUCUGUUCCUGUGUUAAUUCACUUAUGAUAAUGACCUCCAGGUGCAUCCAUGUUGCUGCAGAGGACAUGAUUUUGUUCUUUUGUAUGACUGCAUAGUAUUUCAUGGUGUAUAUGUACCAUAUUUUCUUUAUCUAGUCCACCAUUGAUGGGCGCUUAAGUUAAUUCCAUAUAUUUGCUAUUGUAAAUAGUGUUGCAAUGAACAUACUAGUGCACAUGUCUUUCUGGUUGGAUGAUUUCUUAUCUUCUAACUAUAUACCCUGUAAUGGGAUUGCUGGGUCGAAUGGUAGUUCUAUUUUAAGUUCUUUAAGAAAUCUCCAAACUGCUUUCCACAGUGGCUGAACUAAUUUACAUUUCCAACAACAGUGUAUAAGCUUUCCCUUUUCUUUCAGCCUCACCAACAUCUAUUGUUUUUUGACUUUUUAAUAAUAGGCAUUGUUACUGGUGCAAGAUAGUAUCUCAAUGUGGUUUUGGUUUACAUUUCUCUGAUGAUUAGUGAUGACAAGCAUGUUUUCAUAUAUUUGUUGGCUGCUUGUAUGUCUUCUUUUGAGAAGUGUUUGUUCAUGUCUUUUGCCCAUUUUUGAUGGAGCUGUUUUUGGCUUGUUGAAUUUUUUUUAGUUCUUUACAGAUUCUGGAUAUUAGACCUUUGUCAGAUGCAUACUUUGUGAAUGUUUUCUCCUAUUAUGUAGGUUGUCUGUUUGCUCUGUUGAUAGUCUCCUUUGCUGUGCAGAAGCACUUCAGUUUAAUUGUCAGUUUUUGUUUUUCUUGCAACUGCUUUUGAGGACUUAGUCAUAAAUUAUUCCCCAAGGCCCAUGUCGAGAAUGGCAUUUCCUAGGUUUUAGGAUUCCUUUUUUUUUUUUUUUUUUUUUUUUAAAAAAAAAAACAGGGUCUCACUCUGUCACCCAGGCUGGAGUGCAGUGGCACAAUCUUGACUCAUUGCAGCCUCAACCUUCCUGGGCUCAGGUGAUCCUCCCACCUCAGCCUUCUGAGUAGCUGGGACUACAGUUGCCUGCCACCAUGCCUGGCUAAUUUUUGUAUUUCUUGUAAAGACAGAGAUUUGCCAUGUUGCCCAGUCCGGUCUUGAACUCUUGGGAUCAAAGUAUCUAACCACUUAGCCUCUCAAAGUGCUGGGAUUACAGGUGUGAGCCACUGUGCCUGGCCUUAUUCUAGGAUUCUUAUAAUUUGAGGUGUUAUACUAAAUCUUUAAUCCAUCUUGAGUUAAUUUUUUUUAAUUAAUUUAUUAUUAUUAUACUUUAAGUUUUAGGGUACAUGUGCACAAUGUGUAGGUUAGUUACAUAUGUAUACAUGUGUCAUGCUGGUGUGCUGCACCCACUAACUCGUCAUCUAGCAUUAGGUAUAUCUCCCAAUGCUAUCCCUCCCCACUCCCUCACCCCACAACAGUCCCCAGAGUGUGAUGUUCCCCUUCUUGUGUCAAUGUGUUCUCAUUGUUCAAUUCCCACCUAUAAGUGAGAAUAUGUGGUGUCUGGUUUUUUGUUCUUGCGAUAGUUUACUGAGAAUGAUGAUUUCCAGUUUCAUCCAUGUCCCUACAAA